AGCGGACAGCGAGGUUGCAGUUGGAACAAGCGUUAGGUCAACCUCUGGAAAACAUUAAAUGGAGUUUAUCACUUUAUUAUUAUGUACCAUUAGAUGAGCUACCAAGUGAACCUCGUGGAACGUGAUGGAAGGAAGGGAGGUGAAUUGCUUCAGACGCUCGGACCUGAAAAGAAAGAGGUCACAAGCGGAAGCAAGCCCGAAAUGGUGGUGCAGACUGUUUGGAGUGACGGUGACUCAAUGUGUCGAGUAAUAGGAAGGAAUUCGCCGUAAAAAUAAAGAGCUGGAAGACUGAGGUGAGUGCAAUAAUGGACUCUUACGCUGGAUCCGAUCAACAUCAAAAAACAACAAUCUGAGAACCAGAGCAGAAAUUUGGCGAUGCAUCACGAUGGACGACCAGGAACGUCGGGAUACAUAUGUAUUUGCUUUCGCCCUGCCUCAACGUACUGCGAGAUGUACAUACGUAUAACUUAUAAAUUGUACAGAAUUGUAGGACUCGGUAAUGGUACAUAGUUGGGGCAACAAGAGAUAUGUGUGUGUGUGUGUGUGUGCUUAUAUAGUCGACAGGGAACUCGGAUACAUAUGUACAUACGCCUUAUAAUAAUAAUAAUAAAGUGGGAAGGAAUUUGCGAG